AGUGUGUCAGACAGAGGAACAACAGGGCUGGCAGACAGUUCAGGGCAGACUGGUAAGUCCGAGGAAGGUGGGAGGAAAAUGGGCAUGUCUGCAUAUAUAUCUGCCUCCCAGUCUAUUAAGUCCCCUUCAAAGUCCAGCAGUCCCAGGUACACAAUAAGCUCACCCUCAGCCAUGGUGCAGUGGGCAGAGCUCCUCUCCGCACUCUCGCUGUCCACGGCCUUCUCCCUCGUGGCGAGCAAUGCAGCUGGCUCUCGCACCUGGUCUGAUGUCACUUGAAGCUCGGGCUCCGCGGCGAUCCUCAGCUCUGUCGUUCCGUGCGGCGGGCUCGGGCUUUGGCUCCGUGCAGCGAGGUGAUGGUGGGCUGGGCUCUGGGUCUGGCUGUACUCUGGAUCGGGGCCGGAUGCUCUCCAGACAACGGAUGAUCAACAGGGCGAUGGUAAUUUGCCCCGAUCCAGAAAAGUGAGUUCAGCGCAGCGUCGUCGAAUGCCGUUAAAACGGCGAGUUGGCUGAACUCAACCACAUACUUCAAGAUGGGCAGGUCCUUAUGGGCUACGGCUGUGAAUUUAGCGGCGAGGGGAUCCACUGGGGGGGGAAAAAACAAAACACGGAAAACAAACGGAGGGGAACAUGCAAUAUACUUCUUUUUGUUGGACCAGUGUUCUGUCAGGGUGUCUGCUGUGCAGGAGCGAAGGACGCGGAGACGCAGGAGAUUCAUGAAUAACAGUCUUUAAUUAUCCAAAUAAGGGGGAACACCGGGCAGGCAAGAACACACACGCAGCACAUAGCAUUGAUGUUUAACACUGGACAAGGGAACAUAGGGCAAACCACACUUUAAAUACAGCACGAAACGAGGGUAAUUGAAAAGACACACCUGAAUCAAAUGAACAAUCAACGAGAGACAGAAAAACUGGGUCACUGAGAGCACAUGGGGAGGAAAACAUACACACAGACAGUCCAGAAGCAUGACACCUGAAGGGCUGAGACACACCUGACAUUAUUGUUCAGUUUGACUCAUUAAUGAAGACUGUGUUGCAUCCGUUCUGAAUCUGAAUCACACACACAUGGGAUCGGUGUGUAUUGUUGUCAGUGGAUGAACUCUGCUCAGAUCUUCAGCUCCAGAUUUUUUUCUCUUAAUGACUGAAACAUGUUACAUUACACUCAUUACACUUGAAAUCUACGUGCUGUUGUUUAAUUAAGUUUGUUGUCAUUAAUAUUU